rnacentral:rRNA from 1 species
CGACUUGGAGGUUGUUCCCUUGAGGAGUGGCUUCCGGAGCUAACGCGUUAAGUCGACCGCCUGGGGAGUACGGCCGCAAGGUUAAAACUCAAAUGAAUUGACGGGGGCCCGCACAAGCGGUGGAGCAUGUGGUUUUAAUUCGAUGCAACGCGAAGAACCUUACCUACUCUUGACAUCCAGAGAACUUUCCAGAGAUGGAUUGGUGCCUUCGGGAACUCUGAGACAGGUGCUGUAUGGCUGUCGUCAGCUCGUGUUGUGAAAUGUUGGGUUAAGUCCCGCAACGAGCGCAACCCUUAUCCUUUGUUGCCAGCGAUUCGGUCGGGAACUCAAAGGAGACUGCCGGUGAUAAACCGGAGGAAGGUGGAGAUGACGUCAAGUCAUCAUGGCCCUUACGAGUAGGGCUACACACGUGCUACAAUGGCGCAUACAAAGAGAAGCGACCUCGCGAGAGCAAGCGGACCUCACAAAGUGCGUCGUAGUCCGGAUCGGAGUCUGCAACUCGACUCCGUGAAGUCGGAAUCGCUAGUAAUCGUGGAUCAGAAUGCCACGGUGAAUACGUUCCCGGGCCUUGUACACACCGCCCGUCACACCAUGGGAGUGGGUUGCAAAAGAAGUAGGUAGCUUAACCUUCGGGAGGGCGCUUACCACUUCGUGAUUCAUGACUGGGGUGAAGUCGUAACAAGGUAAC